CCAAGGAGUCUAGCAUGUGCGCGAGUCAUUGGGACUCUAACGAAACCUAAAGGCGCAAUGAAAGUGAAGGUUCGCCGCGCGCGAACCGAGGGAGGAUGGACGGUCGAUCGUGGCCGCCCCGCACUCCCUGGGCGUCUCGUUCUCAUCGCGAGAAGAGGCGCACCAAGAGCGUACACGCUGGGACCCGAAAGAUGGUGAACUAUGCCUGGUCAGGACGAAGUCAGGGGAAACCCUGAUGGAGGUCCGUAGCGAUUCUGACGUGCAAAUCGAUCGUCGGAACUGGGUAUAGGGGCGAAAGACUAAUCGAACCAUCUAGUAGCUGGUUCCCUCCGAAGUUUCCCUCAGGAUAGCUGGCGCUCGCUUCUCGCGAGUCUCAUUCGGUAAAGCGAAUGAUUAGAGGCAUUGGGGUCGAAACGGCCUCAACCUAUUCUCAAACUUUAAAUGGGUGAGAUCUCCGGCUUGCUUGAACUGUGAAGCCGCGAGAUAUCGGAUCAGAGUGCCAAGUGGGCCACUUUUG
rnacentral:rRNA from 1 species